GAUCUCCUUAUUCUUUCUCUACUUCUUAUUUCUUUUUGAAUCUUUUAAUUCUCUUUCUCUUAUAAUCACUAUCUUAAUCUUUAGCCCCAAAACCCUAAUACUUUUUGUUGAUUGUUACAGAUCAGAUGAACGACGGUGAAGCUUGUCUCUCAUCAGAUCCACAACGCGGACCUCAUCUCCGAUCAGCUCCGAUGUUCUAUGCUCGUGUUUAGCUGGUGUUGGUAGGUUGCUACCGGUGGUGAUACAUCAUUCUAAAGCCUUCUUGAAAAAUCAGGAUGAUUAAUGUCUGGUUUUGAUGUGGGAUGUUGAUGGUGUUAAAUACUUGGCGGAUGAACAUGGAUCAUUUUUCGAUUUUUAGAGAGUUUUUGAUUUUGGAAGAUGAAGAUAAUGAAAAGGUAUGAAGAUGAUGAUCAGAAGGUAUGUUUCAUUUGAAUCAAGAAAUGAGG